GGGAUUAUGUUUUACACUUCAUUAGCAUCAUAUUAGGUCAUACUGUAACGUAUGACGUAAUCACUGUACCUCUAGUCCAAAACUAUGAUCACUCCUUAACAGAAGGAGCCCACACAAAGAAAGAUUGAGAAUUGGACUUCAUUUUCUAAGUAUACAAGUCUCAAGGGUCUCGGGGGGGUCCAAGUAUCUUAUUAUGGUCCUCAGUUCAUCAGUGAAGGAUUCAAAGCUAUCAGAGUGUUCAUCUGGAUUUAAUCAAAAAUUAGGGUUUCAUGGCUACCUGCAACAGGCAAGGUUUGGUUGGAAGUAGAGGAGCUCAUUCAUAUCAUGAUUAGAGAGGCAUCUUGGCCUAGGAAGAUUCACAAUUAUCUUAGAAAGAUCCAUUGGCAAUCAGUGCAAUCA
rnacentral:lncRNA from 1 species